UACGAAGGGGGCUAGCGUUGCUCGGAAUCACUGGGCGUAAAGGGUGCGUAGGCGGGUUUUUAAGUCAGGGGUGAAAUCCUGGAGCUCAACUCCAGAACUGCCUUUGAUACUGAAGAUCUUGAGUCCGGGAGAGGUGAGUGGAACUGCGAGUGUAGAGGUGAAAUUCGUAGAUAUUCGCAAGAACACCAGUGGCGAGGGCGGCUCACUGGCCCGAUACUGACGCUGAGGCACGAAAGCGUGGGGAGCAAACAGG
rnacentral:rRNA from 1 species